rnacentral:lncRNA from 1 species
GGAGAUACCAUAUGCAACUUUACAUAUUGUAAACCGAUUUCGUCAAUUCAUCAUGAAGAAGUAUGACUAACAUAUAGAUCCUUUUAAACAUGAUUACUAAGAACGAAAAAAUGCCAGAAUCGAAGCCAAAUGCUCUGAUACCAAUGUUAUUCUUUUAUGCGGAAGCGUUAAACCGGAACACAUACCUUGGCCGGUUUACUGACGUAUUUGGCACGGAAUCGACUGGGAAUUGACGCAGAGAUCGGGGUUGAAGUCACAAACGGAAAUCAACCACAAGCCACCGUUCAAGUGCCUUUCCGGUUGAUCUCUCGAAGCUUUCUCUCUCUAAAACGUUUUUCUCUCUCUAGAACUCUCUUUGUAUCAAUAGUCACAAAAGACU